rnacentral:rRNA from 1 species
UACAGAGGGUGCGAGCGUUAAUCGGAAUUACUGGGCGUAAAGCGCGCGUAGGCGGCUUUGCAAGUCGGGUGUGAAAUCCCCAGGCUUAACCUGGGAACUGCAUUCGAGACUGCAUUGCUAGAGUAUGGGAGAGGGAAGUGGAAUUUCCGGUGUAGCGGUGAAAUGCGUAGAUAUCGGAAGGAACACCUAUGGCGAAAGCAGGUUUCUGGGCCAUCUUUGACGCUGAGCUGCGAAAGCUAGGGGAGCAAACAGG